UAUUGCAUAAUUUAACUUAAUUAUUUUUUUUAUUUCUCAAGAUUUCUACCGGAACGAGCCUAAUAAGUAAUUAAAAUUUAAUAUCAUUAUUGUAAGGCCCAAUAUUUGCCCGGCCCGUGCACAAAUAAAUACCAAAUUAAAAAGUCAAAAAAAAAAAACAAACAAUAACAUCAACCCAAGUUACAGAAACCCAACUAGCCUAAACCCAAUUAGCCUAAGCCCAAUACCCUGGCCCAAUCACGAAGCGGCCAACGCAAAGUCAGAGGUUGGAAACCCUAGCAGCAAGGGUUCCCAGUGCCACAGAUGUGACGUCCCUUCGCUCUCCCUUCGCAUGUGACGAGCCCUCGUGCGUGCGCGCGAGCCUCCGUACGAGCACGCCUCUCCCCACAUGCACUGUACCACGCGAGCCUCCGUACAUGCGCGCCCACGCACCUCCGUACCCGUACCUGUAAAGGACAAGCAAACGAGUAACAAAAACAGAGAGCAACAGCAAAGAAAGAUACCAUAACAAAUGGACCGAAGAUAAUAGCAAAAAAAAAUGUAAAAGAAAAAAAGAGUUUUAGAGAAUUUUAUUUUGAGCUUCUUCUUUCUGUUUUGGCUAUAAAAGGCCAAUCAUCUUCUGUAAAAAGGGGUUACACACGCAUACUGUAAAGAAAAAACAAAAUCAAUACCAAAAAAAGGUUCUCCUUUUUUUCUUUUCGGUUUCUUUUUAAUGGCUUUUUUCUUUUUCUUUUUCUGCUUGAUCUUAAUCAUAUAUAUAGGCAUAUUUAUAAAAUAUAAGAGGGAAGGGUUUAGAAACAUUACCUGGUUCGGUGCGUCGCCGAAUCCCCCUCCGUUCAGGCCAAGAUUGAAUAGGCGAGGGGGACAUUUUCGUUGCUAAAGCGGCGCAGAGGGUUGAAGGCUUGGUGUCUGUGUGUCAACAGACUGGUUUUAGGGUUAGGAGGGGUCUUUUAUAGUGCGGAAAACGGCACCAUUUAGGGCUUGUUUCAGUGGCCCUAAAACGGCACUGUAUUGGUCGUUUUACUCCCUCCUACCCGCGUGUUGACCCG
rnacentral:lncRNA from 1 species